GGAUAGAACAUAGGCGGUACACGGGUGCAGGACGGUAGGGUGGGGAAAGGGAGACUUUGGAGGGUCAGGGUGCGGCGUAGAAGAGAAGAGGGUUCAGGGUUGUUGAAGAAGCGGCGACAGCGGGCAACUAGGCCGACGCGUGGAGUGGGAGCAGCGAGAGGGACCGGGUCGUUGUAGUGGGUGAGGGACGAGAAGGAGGGCUGCGCCUUCACAGGAAAGCUCAGAGCAGAGGCAGAAGCACCAGGAGUCCAGACCGUCGGAGGCUGGUGUUGCGACGGCCUAGAUUGGUUGGUUAUCCGCGAGCUGCGGCGAGGAGUCCUGGCGCAGCCAGAAGAAACGGACGAGAGAGAGAGGGAGUUGGAGGGUGCCGUACAUAACCGGGGAAGACUUUGAGGAGUAGGCUCACCGGUGGACUACGGCGGCACAUCUUGUGCGAGUGAGGACGGAACCGGGCGGACAUGGUCCUAAACGAGGACACCAAGUUCAACUUAUGGCCCCUCUACCUCUACCACUGUACCGAUCGAAGACACCACCACUCCAAGUUCAAGAUGUUGCUCCACCGGCAACCCGGAUAGACUUCUCGUUGUUACAUUGCGAAAACUCGAAUCCAUGUUCUUCAGCAUAAACUUUCCCCUGCUCUACUACAAGUAGUUUUACUUUGACUGUGUAAAUCAAUACGCGGUUAAAUAAAGAUCUGUUGUACUCGUACCUCUUUGUAUAUACACUUUC
rnacentral:rRNA from 1 species